UACGGGGGGGGCAAGCGUUGUUCGGAAUUACUGGGCGUAAAGGGCGCGUAGGCGGCCUUCUAAGUCGGACGUGAAAUCCCUCGGCUUAACCGAGGAACUGCGUCUGAUACUGGAAGGCUUGAAUCCGGGAGAGGGAUGUGGAAUUCCAGGUGUAGCGGUGAAAUGCGUAGAUAUCUGGAGGAACACCGGUGGCGAAGGCGGCUCUCUGGGCCUUACCUGACGCUGAGGAGCGAAAGCGUGGGUAGCGAACAGG
rnacentral:rRNA from 1 species